ACCAAAUCAUUAUGUAUAAACUUUGAUUUUGGUCAUCAGAUCUAAUAUUAAAUAAGAACGACUUGUAGUUAAAACCAAAGUACCAAAAUGAGGACUGUGUUAGACUUCAAAAAUAAUUUUUGCUGUGUUCCAGACAUAUGGACAGACGUUUAUACAAGACGACACGUUUCUGUCCACCACUGGUUCUGUAGCUGGAGUUGUUCAUGCCAUAAGCCGUGUGAUUGUGGGCUUAAUUCAGGACAAAAUAUCUUACAAGUUAACGAGUCUCCUGUUGCUGGGAAUAAAAACAGUAUUGCUGUCCACUAUGGUGGCGACACCUUAUGGAGGAGAAGUGAUGUACAUGAUCUGGAUUUGUGGUCUCUUUACUACAUUUCCUCUUGCUUUUGUCUGUAUUCCGGCUUCUGUUGCUGAAGUUUUCGGAAUGGUGUUUUUAACAUCAACAGCUUGUUUCUUUCUCUGGCCUUUACUUCUCCAUCGUAUUACCUCUUCUUUAGGAUGGUUUGCUACGUUUUGUGUGACAGCGAC